rnacentral:rRNA from 1 species
CCUACGGGAGGCAGCAGUGGGGAAUAUUGGGCAAUGGGCGCAAGCCUGACCCAGCAACGCCGCGUGAAGGAAGAAGGCUUUCGGGUUGUAAACUUCUUUUCUCAGGGACGAAGCAAGUGACGUUACCUGAGCAAUAAGCCACGGCUAACUACGUGCCAGCAGCCGCGGUAAUACGGAGGUGGCAAGCGUUAUCCGGAUUUACUGGGUGUAAAGGUCGUGUAGGCGGGGACGGAAGUCAGAUGUGAAAACCACGGGCUCAACCUGUGGCCUGCAUUUGAAACUGUGUUUCUUGAGUACUGGAGAGGCAGACGGAAUUCCUAGUGUAGCGGUGAAAUGCGUAGAUAUUAGGAGGAACACCAGUGGCGAAGGCGGUCUGCUGGACAGCAACUGACGCUGAGGCGCGAAAGCGUGGGGAGCAAACAGGAUUAGAUACCCCUGUAGUC